GUGCUUGCAUAGCUCAUCUCUGCACUACUACUCCAUUUAUAAACUUCUCUCAUAUUUUCUUCAAACCUCUUUGCCCCCUGCCGGUCCUUCCCUCACACUCCUUGAAGAAACCUAGAUCCUGUAGGAAAAACAGUGACAGCAGAUAAAAGGAUGCCAACUUUCUGACGUGUGCGUGGGAAUGAGUGGAUCUGUCUUUGGAGUCUAGAACAGUUUUGAGCAUAUGCAAGACUCAGGCUGGUGAGCAUGUGCCGGACUCCCAAGGAAAAAGACUUCACAAGGCUUAGGAAACACACAUGUUCUUCAAUAGGGAUGUUGAUCUAGAGAUCAAACAAGUAGAUGAAGAGAACUAAGAACUUACUGUCUCUGCAAGAAAAGGAGUUGUGAACAGGUAAAUAAAAGACCAUCAUUAACAUUUUACUAAAUGUAAACAGGAGUAGCAAACACCAAAAAGAGUGGCUAUGUAAGAUUGAACGCUAACAGUCUGUUUUCCCUACUCCCUUUCAUACUGUUACUGCGCAACACCAACAAGGUGGUGGCCUUGGGCACCAAGAAAGAAAAAGGAAACUUGGAUUAAGAACAGAACAAUUGGGGGAAAUUAUUAAAUUAACAUUAAGCUUCCUCAUUAUUCCAUUCCAGACUUCACUGAAAUUGAA